rnacentral:rRNA from 1 species
AAAUGAAAAGAUGCUAAACUGAACUGGCCCGAUCCUGUCUGAUCUUGGAAGCUAAGCAGGAUUGGGCCUGGUUAGUACUUGGAUGGGAGACCACCUAGGAAGACCAGGCGCUUUAGGCA